rnacentral:rRNA from 1 species
UACGUAGGGCGCAAGCGUUGUCCGGAAUUAUUGGGCGUAAAGAGCUCGUAGGCGGUUUGUCGCGUCUGCCGUGAAAACCUAGUGCUUAACACUGGGCGUGCGGUGGGUACGGGCAGGCUAGAGUGUGGUAGGGGAGACUGGAAUUCCUGGUGUAGCGGUGGAAUGCGCAGAUAUCAGGAGGAACACCGAUGGCGAAGGCAGGUCUCUGGGCCAUUACUGACGCUGAGGAGCGAAAGCAUGGGUAGCGAACAGG